UACGUAGGGUGCAAGCGUUGUCCGGAAUUAUUGGGCGUAAAGGGCUCGUAGGCGGUCCAUCACGUCGGGAGUGAAAAGCUGGGGCUUAACCCCAGUCCUGCUUCCGAUACGGGUGGACUAGAGGUAGGCAGGGGAGAACGGAAUUCCUGGUGUAGCGGUGAAAUGCGCAGAUAUCAGGAGGAACACCGGUGGCGAAGGCGGUUCUCUGGGCCUUACCUGACGCUGAGGUGCGAAAGCGUGGGGAGCAAACAGG
rnacentral:rRNA from 1 species